rnacentral:rRNA from 1 species
AACGUAGGGGGCCAGCGUUGCUCGGAAUUACUGGGCGUAAAGGGUCUGUAGGCGGUGCGGCAAGUCGGAAGUGAAAUCUCAGGGCUCAACCCUGAGACUGCUCCCGAAACUGCCGUGCUAGAGUGCGAGAGAGGCGGGUGGAAUUGCAGGUGUAGCGGUGAAAUGCGUAGAUAUCUGCAGGAACAUCCGAGGCGAAAGCGGCCCGCUGGAUCGCAACUGACGCUGAGAGACGAAAGCUAGGGGAGCAAACAGG